AGAGUUUGAUCAUGGCUCAGAAUGAACGCUGGCGGCGUGCUUAACACAUGCAAGUCGAGCGAGGCGGAAGGGGGCAACUCCUUCCAGUCGAGCGGCGGACGGGUGAGUAACACGUGGGUAACCUGCCCGGAAGUGGGGAAUACCUCGGGGAAACUCGAGCUAAUACCGCAUAACAUCGCAGGGACGGAAGUCCUGGCGAUCAAAGCGGGGUCGCAAGAUCUCGCGCUACCGGAUGGGCCCGCGCCCGAUUAGCUAGUUGGUGAGGUAACGGCUCACCAAGGCUUCGAUCGGUAACCGGCCUGAGAGGGCGAUCGGUCACACCGGAACUGAGACACGGUCCGGACUCCUACGGGAGGCAGCAGUGGGGAAUCUUGCGCAAUGGGCGAAAGCCUGACGCAGCAACGCCGCGUGGAGGAUGAAGGCCCUUGGGUUGUAAACUCCUGUCGGCUGGGAAGAAAUCGUUCGCGGCUAAUACCCGCGAGCGUUGACUGUACCAGCAAAGGAAGCCCCGGCUAACUCUGUGCCAGCAGCCGCGGUAAUACAGAGGGGGCUAGCGUUAUUCGGAAUUAUUGGGCGUAAAGGGCGCGUAGGCGGCCUUGCGUGUCUUCCGUGAAAUCCCUCGGCUCAACUGAGGACGUGCGGAAGAAACUGCAAGGCUCGAGUCCGGGAGAGGAGGGUGGAAUUCCCAGUGUAGCGGUGAAAUGCGUAGAUAUUGGGAGGAACACCGGUGGCGAAGGCGGCCCUCUGGACCGGUUCUGACGCUGAUGCGCGAAAGCGUGGGGAGCAAACGGGAUUAGAUACCCUAGUAGUCC
rnacentral:rRNA from 1 species